CCCGAAAGAUCGAACGGGGAGAUUCAUCGUCAGCGACGUCGGCUUCGCCGCGGCUCGCGAUGUCGCGGACCCUCGCGUCCACGGCACGCGGCCGCGUCGCGUUAUGCCCGGCGGCGUAGGCGUGCACUUCUCCCCUAGUAGGACGUCGCGACCCGUUAGGCGUCGGCAUAAGGCCCGUUCAUGGUAGACUGUCACGGCGUUCGCGCCGGGGCAGACCUUCGGUUGCCCGGCCGGCUGCCCGGCGGUACUCGCACGGUAUUGAGCCGCAUCGAACUUGCGUCCAGCCCGUCGCAAGCGCGGUCAGCGUUACCCGGUGUUCGGACCUGGCGCCGUCACCGGGCCUGGCCAGCUGUUGGCAGACGGUGUCCUCGGACGGGCUCGUAAAUUUAAAUACCGGUCGGCGACGCUAUUGCUUUGGGUACUUUCA
rnacentral:rRNA from 1 species